rnacentral:rRNA from 2 species
UCCUGGCUCAGGAUGAACGCUAGCGACAGGCUUAACACAUGCAAGUCGAGGGGCAUCAUGAGGUAGCAAUACCUUGAUGGCGACCGGCGCACGGGUGAGUAACGCGUAUGCAACCUGCCUGAUACCGGGGUAUAGCCCAUGGAAACGUGGAUUAACACCCCAUAGUACUUUUAUCCUGCAUGGGAUGUGAGUUAAAUGUUUAAGGUAUCGGAUGGGCAUGCGUCCUAUUAGUUAGUUGGCGGGGUAACAGCCCACCAAGACGAUGAUAGGUAGGGGUUCUGAGAGGAAGGUCCCCCACAUUGGAACUGAGACACGGUCCAAACUCCUACGGGAGGCAGCAGUGAGGAAUAUUGGUCAAUGGACGAGAGUCUGAACCAGCCAAGUCGCGUGAGGGAAGACUGCCCUAUGGGUUGUAAACCUCUUUUAUAAGGGAAGAAUAAGUUCUACGUGUAGAAUGAUGCCUGUACCUUAUGAAUAAGCAUCGGCUAACUCCGUGCCAGCAGCCGCGGUAAUACGGAGGAUGCGAGCGUUAUCCGGAUUUAUUGGGUUUAAAGGGUGCGUAGGCGGUUUAUUAAGUUAGUGGUUAAAUAUUUGAGCUAAACUCAAUUGUGCCAUUAAUACUGGUAAACUGGAGUACAGACGAGGUAGGCGGAAUAAGUUAAGUAGCGGUGAAAUGCAUAGAUAUAACUUAGAACUCCGAUAGCGAAGGCAGCUUACCAGACUGUAACUGACGCUGAUGCACGAGAGCGUGGGUAGCGAACAGGAUUAGAUACCCUGGUAGUCCACGCCGUAAACGAUGCUCACUGGUUCUGUGCGAUAUAUUGUACGGGAUUAAGCGAAAGUAUUAAGUGAGCCACCUGGGGAGUACGUCGGCAACGAUGAAACUCAAAGGAAUUGACGGGGGCCCGCACAAGCGGAGGAACAUGUG